AUUGAACGCUGGCGGCAGGCCUAACACAUGCAAGUCGAGCGGUAGAGAGAAGCUUGCUUCUCUUGAGAGCGGCGGACGGGUGAGUAAUGCCUAGGAAUCUGCCUGGUAGUGGGGGAUAACGUUCGGAAACGGACGCUAAUACCGCAUACGUCCUACGGGAGAAAGCAGGGGACCUUCGGGCCUUGCGCUAUCAGAUGAGCCUAGGUCGGAUUAGCUAGUUGGUGGGGUAAUGGCUCACCAAGGCGACGAUCCGUAACUGGUCUGAGAGGAUGAUCAGUCACACUGGAACUGAGACACGGUCCAGACUCCUAAGGGAGGCAGCAGUGGGGAAUAUUGGACAAUGGGCGAAAGCCUGAUCCAGCCAUGCCGCGUGUGUGAAGAAGGUCUUCGGAUUGUAAAGCACUUUAAGUUGGGAGGAAGGGCAGUAAAUUAAUACUUUGCUGUUUUGACGUUACCGACAGAAUAAGCACCGGCUAACUCUGUG
rnacentral:rRNA from 1 species